GUUAUAGCGCAAUGGUAGAGCUCCGGCCUGGAAAGCCAAAGGCCAGUGGUUCGAUCCCCAUCUGAAACA
rnacentral:tRNA from 1 species